UAACGAAACGAGACCUUAAACCCUGCUAAAUAAGGCCAGGCUAGCUUUGGCUGGUCGCCGGCUUCUUAGAGGGACUAUCGGCUCAAGCCGAUGGAAGUUUGAGGCAAUAACAGGUCUGUGAUGCCCUUAGAUGUUCUGGGCCGCACGCGCGCUACACUGACAGAGCCAACGAGUUUCUUCCUUGUCCGAAAGGUCUGGGUAAUCUUGUUAAACUCUGUCGUGCUGGGGAUAGGGCAUUGCAAUG
rnacentral:rRNA from 1 species